rnacentral:lncRNA from 1 species
GAAAAAGAGAGUAAAGACACAAUAAAAUAUGAGAGAGUUGUUCCAAAAAUUUACUCAAAAUGAUAGUACAAAUGUCAUUUGAACAUGCUUUUGUUUGUACGAAACUAAGAUAAGAUGAGAUGUUUUAUCUCUUAAUAUAACUAGAAUUUAUUUAACUGCAUCGACACCGUUAAAAUAUUCGAUAACAUAUCUAUUGUCUAAAGAAAACUUGACCUAAUUAUCUCACCUAUCAGGAAACUUGGCAAUGUGAAGGAUCAAAAUCGUCUAUUUGGAAGGUACCACCAUGUAUACCAAAUGACCUUGUCCUUGAGCUACUUUUUUUUUGAAAACAAAAAAAAAAUAUUCAUUCAUUCAAAUUGAUAGAGUAUAUCGAGACAAUAAAAAAAGAUGAAUAUACGAACCAACUCAUAACAUUCAUGUUAAUAGCAUAAAACGGAGUACAUAUGUAUACAAACAUGAAUAUAUUUAAGCCACCGAUAUACUCAUAUUUUCGGAUUCGUAAUGUUGUGACACAAAAGUCAUUGAUUGAAUUUGUAAUUGAUAAAACUAACCUUUCAACCUGAAUCAAAUAAACACCGCACGAAGACCGAAAAUAAAAAAUACACCACACAAAGACGGGAGAUAAAAAUAAUCAACGUCGUGCUAGACAACGAAAUCACAAAAUCAACGAAAGAAAACUGAAAUUAUGUAAAAAAUCACUUAUUUAGCUAAAAGAGAAAGAAAAACAAUUCGGAAGGGUGAUUUCGGGUCAAAAUUGACGAUGAAUCACCUCUCUUUAAUGGAAAGAAAGAAAGAAAAAAAAAGUUGUGACGAUUAUAUAUUUUGAAAGGAAAAAGUUUGAGAGGAGAGAAAAGUUAUGUUUAUGUCAUGGUUAUAUGUUGUUAACACGUAAAUUUUAAUAACU